UUCAGGCUCAGAUUGAACGCUGGCGGCAGGCCUAACACAUGCAAGUCGAACGGUAGCACAGAGGAGCUUGCUCCUUGGGUGACGAGUGGCGGACGGGUGAGUAAUGUCUGGGAAACUGCCCGAUGGAGGGGGAUAACUACUGGAAACGGUAGCUAAUACCGCAUAACGUCGCAAGACCAAAGAGGGGGACCUUCGGGCCUCUUGCCAUCGGAUGUGCCCAGAUGGGAUUAGCUAGUAGGUGGGGUAACGGCUCACCUAGGCGACGAUCCCUAGCUGGUCUGAGAGGAUGACCAGCCACACUGGAACUGAGACACGGUCCAGACUCCUACGGGAGGCAGCAGUGGGGAAUAUUGCACAAUGGGCGCAAGCCUGAUGCAGCCAUGCCGCGUGUAUGAAGAAGGCCUUCGGGUUGUAAAGUACUUUCAGCGAGGAGGAAGGCUAUU
rnacentral:rRNA from 1 species